UCUUUCAAAUGAUCAAAUCUUCUGUUUUAUCACUUUAUUGGUUGCGGCGGAAUUGCAGCCAGAACAAAGUUGGGAGGAAAGAUCAAGUUUGUGAGGAAAGAACAGAGUUGGCGAAGACCAAUUCUUGAUAGAUCGUGUGGCGAAGACCAUUGAGCGAGAUUCUUCUUGGUCUCCGAAGGGUCCCUCCGAACAAGAAGAAUUAGAAGAACAGGCGAAGACCAAUUCUUGAUAGUUCAUGAGGCCAAGUCCAGUUUUCUUUCCUGUUAAGAUGGGUGUCCCUCCGUUUCAGGUUAUUCUUGAGUCUGCGAAACCCUAGUUCCCAAUUCAAUACCGAAUCCGGACAACAUCUUAGUAUUCAGCCCACAGAACUCAAAUUCCCCUAGAUUAAGGGACCAAACUCUGUCUCUGCCAAAAGUGAUAAAUGCAAAAUACUCUCUUAAAAGGAAGACAUUGUCGUCAAGUAAAGAAGGAACUGGUGUACGUUAUCCCAAAAUAUCAAACAGGAAAGCAGACUACCAAGUCCAAGGGAAUUAAAGUUUGACAAGAGGUUUAUGAAGGAGCCACCAACAGAUUUAUUCAGCAAGCUCUCACUUGCACCUGAAGCCCAUCAUAAUGCAAAACCUGAGCUUAAAACUGCCUAUGCCUGCUAAGGUUAGAACAUGUUCUAUGGAGCUCAGAAGCUUUUAUGUUUUACAUAUUUGUUAGAUUAUACAUGGUUUGUUUUGUUAUGUGAAUUAAGAUCCUAAAUUUGUUCAAAAAUGUCGGACUGGUUCGGUGAAAAGUGACGGGAGGAUCCUUGAAAAAUAAACAUCAUUUUUCGCAUGAACAGGUGGAUGCUUUAAUUUCUUGACCUUCUGAUCUUGUGAGCUUAUUGCCAGGAGUCAUUUGUCUUGUGAGCAGUUUGGCACCUUUUUGUCAAAUUUUAAGGAAUUAAACGCCCACGAGCAAAGAAAAUUGAGCUCAGGACUCUGCAGAAGACUGAUGAGAUAUUUGGGACAGAGAAUAAGGACGUAUACACUAUAUUGGAGGAUUGAUCAGUCAAACGUCUAUAGAACCCUAUACCCCAUAUUCAUAUUGGAAAGGUUGCUAACAGUCCAUUGAACUUGUGGCAAUUGGAUUCUGUAAAUUUAAUCCAUUUUUCAUGUAAUUAAAUAUGAAUCUGCAAUAAGUCAAUUCUUUGAAUUCGUGUAUCUGUACAAGUAGCAACUCUGAGAAUGUUAGCAAAUGAAUUGUUCCGACUUAUUCACUAGCCUUGAGACUUCAGUUAAAGG